GACGAACGCUGGCGGCGUGCUUAACACAUGCAAGUCGAACGAUGACGACCGAGCUUGCUCGGUCUGAUUAGUGGCGAACGGGUGAGUAACACGUGAGCAACCUGCCCUUCACUCUGGGAUAACCUCGGGAAAUCGGGGCUAAUACCGGAUAUGAGCUCCUGUCGCAUGGCGGGUGUUGGAAAGUUUUUCGGUGAAGGAUGGGCUCGCGGCCUAUCAGUUUGUUGGUGAGGUAGUGGCUCACCAAGGCGAUGACGGGUAGCCGGCCUGAGAGGGCGACCGGCCACACUGGGACUGAGACACGGCCCAGACUCCUACGGGAGGCAGCAGUGGGGAAUAUUGCACAAUGGGCGAAAGCCUGAUGCAGCGACGCCGCGUGAGGGAUGACGGCCUUCGGGUUGUAAACCCCUUUCAGCAGGGAAGAAGCGAAAGUGACGGUACCUGCAGAAGAAGUGCCGGCUAACUACGUG
rnacentral:rRNA from 1 species